rnacentral:rRNA from 1 species
UACGUAGGGUGCAAGCGUUGUCCGGAAUUAUUGGGCGUAAAGAGCUCGUAGGCGGUUCGUCACGUCGGCUGUGGAAAUCCCGAGGCUCAACCUCGGGUCUGCAGUCGAUACGGGCAGACUGGAGUACUGGCAGGGGAGACGUGGAAUUCCUGGUGUAGCGGUGAAAUGCGCAGAUAUCAGGAGGAACACCAACAGCGAAGGCAGAUCUCUGGGACGUUACUGACGCUGAGACGCGAAAGCGUGGGGAGCAAACAGG